rfam:Ciona intestinalis ciona0180, whole genome shotgun sequence.
CCUUCGAUAGCUCAGUUGGUAGAGCGGUGGACUGUAGCGGUUCAACUGUCAGAUAUCCAUAGGUCACUGGUUCGAAUCCGGUUCGAAGGA